GAGUUUGAUCCUGGCUCAGAUUGAACGCUGGCGGCAGGCUUAACACAUGCAAGUCGAACGGUAACGGGAAGAAAGCUUGCUUUCUUUGCUGACGAGUGGCGGACGGGUGAGUAAUGCUUGGGAAUCUGUCUUAUGGAGGGGGAUAACGACGGGAAACUGUCGCUAAUACCGCGUAAAAUCCGAGGAUUAAAGGCCGGGACCGAUAGGCCGGUUGCCAUAAGAUGAGCCCAAGUGGGAUUAGGUAGUUGGUGAGGUAAAGGCUCACCAAGCCUGCAAUCUCUAGCUGGUCUGAGAGGAUGACCAGCCACACUGGAACUGAGACACGGUCCAGACUCCUACGGGAGGCAGCAGUGGGGAAUAUUGCGCAAUGGGGGCAACCCUGACGCAGCCAUGCCGCGUGAAUGAAGAAGGCCUUCGGGUUGUAAAGUUCUUUCGGUGAUGAGGAAGGCGAUUGCUUUAAUAGAGCAGUUGAUUGACGUUAGUCACAGAAGAAGCACCGGCUAACUCCGUGCCAGCAGCCGCGGUA
rnacentral:rRNA from 1 species